UCGCAGCUUCGCGUGUCGCGUGUUUCGCGUUAAUUAUGUUGUAAUCUAUUUCUUACAUUAAGUAAUAAUUACAAGUUAUCAACGUGUGUUUAUUUCGUACAUAUCCAACAAGUUCUUUACUUUCACUUGAACGCGUUCUCUGAAGUGUAUCUCGACCAUUGUGGCUUGACGUUUGUCCCAAAAAUUGACACGAACUUUCUGGAGAAUCCAAUGAAACUCAACGAGGGCUAGCUAGGCAGACGUCCUGAAUUCCUGUGCCGCAAAGAAUUAAUACAGUCCGUUGGCCAGAAGAUGUCACGACGAUGUCCACCGUCCAGGAAGAAGCAUUCGUCUAGGUUUAACUUGGACUAAAUGGAAAACUGAUCUUUCUUCGUGCGGACAAAUAAGGACAUUCGCCCUAAACGAUAGUGUUGAUGUUCCUUGACGCCUACAAAUUGGUUCCAAAGUUAUGCUGUAUGUAUAAUAUGGCGAUUCUUAAGCGCACCUUCUCACGACAAAAUGGCGCAGACGUUCGCGUCGGUAAGUCGUUUACGACCUGGCCUGGCCUGCGUUAAUAUAAGAACGUUAAAACCGCAGAAAAUUCCGCGUCGUCGUGUCGCGACAGCAGUCAACGCCGUUAAAUGGAGCAACGAUCCCCCAAAGAAUCAGCAGUGACCGUGACACGAGACGUCGGAGUUCGGACCGCGUCGUUUCGCUCCAACUUUCCUCGUCCACGCGUUACGCUCGUUCCCCGACGACACAAUAGCGAGAGAAGGAAAAGAAAGAGCGACAAAAAAAAGAAAGAAAGAAAGAAAAAGAAAAGACCAGCAAAACAAACCGGCGAAUUUCACUCUAAAAAGUUUUCCUUUUCUCUCGGGGUCGGAAAGGAUCCGACAGCGGAGAGAGGUCGUACAAAAGGUAUCGGGGAACCAUUAAUAUGCGGAUCGCGUCGAGAGGAUCCGACGUCGACGUGGUUGCGUCGAGCGACAAGAACAACGAGGACGAAUGACAAGGACGAUUCCGUAGUCGACGACAACAACGACAACCGACCACAGAGUUCGGUAUUGUUCCCGGCUCGACGAUAAAAGGUUUCGCAUCGUUGCAGUGGCGUGUGUACCGUACCUACUGGGACAGAGAGUUCGGGAAGAAGAAGUAGAAGCAGCAGACGCGGGGCGAAAAAGAAAGGCAGAACGCGAACAAAAACGGGGGAGGGAGCGGUGGCCGAGGGGGUGGGGAAAAAAGCGAGGAAGAAACGAGAGAAAAAAAGGGAAAGAGAAGCAAAGGGAGAUCGGGUGCACCAGAUAUAGAGGUCGACGAUAAUGCUCUCAGUACACCCUGGGCUCUCGUAGCGGAGACCGCGCACCAGGCGGCCAUUAUAUUGUUUUACUCUCUGUAUCUCAGCCAGAGAUCAACGAGCACGCCGCGAAGAGUGUUCCGUAAUACACCUUCGACGACAACGACGAUGACGAGCGCCGCAUGCCAACCCAGAGGCUGCCACCGAAACAACGAAAUCGCAAGGGAGCGAGAGGCGGUGUAGUGCGCCGGUACGCGACCGAGGUCGAAACGGAAAUGCUGUUCGCGUGUUCCCUGGCUAAACAAAGUACUUCGCCGGAGUAACGUUGCACGGAUGAAAGACGCUGGGCGCUUUGAGAGGAGCGCUGAGAAAUUAAACUGAUUAGCUGCUCGAACUUCGCGGCGCGUUUGACUUUAAGUAAUUAAUACGCCUGGCGCUCGCGUGGCGUCGUACUCGACGCCAACGUACCGAUACCAGUCUUUCAUUUUUCAUUCUUAACCCACUUGCUAACCGGGAAAAUUUAAAGCUCUUUGCCUCGUCUGUCACGAUCAAUACAGAUGUGUAAUGCAGGUUAUUAUUUUGAUAAGAAAAAAGUGAUUGAAAUGUGUUGAAACUAAUGAUCGGUAGAGUAGGAAUGAUUUUUAAAUUAAUUAGAAUUAACGAGUCAAUCUUAUUUAAUAAUAAUCUUAUAGAAGGUGUCCUAGAAUUAGUGUAAGAUUCAGAAAUGGGGAGGUAGCUGAGACGAUUCUGAAACACAAUUUUUUUUGGAAAAAUUAUUGAAACAAAUAUUGCCAAUAUUAGUAUAGACUUUUGCCGAUCGAAAUGAAAAUACGCGGAACGUCAGGGAUAUCGAAAUUUUUUGAUGGCAUUCAGGACUAGCGUUCCCUUCUUUUGCCCCCGGUAGCUCGCGUGGCAGCACCGUAGCACCGGGACCCGAGAGGUGAAAAAACAAUGACCGUACGACCCGAACCCCUUUCGUUUCGAUCACUACAGAGUCUCUUUGCGCCCUUGUCUCUUUUCUUUCUUGGUCUCUCUUGUUCGUUUCUCCCGUAGCUCUCUCCUCCUCCUUUAUUCGCGUCCUCUCUUUUCUCGCCACCCCCUCAUUGAAUUCUUCUGCAUGCCGCUGCGUCUCGUCUCGUCUCGUCCCGUCCCGUCUCGUCUCGUUUCGUCUCGUCUCGUCUCGUUUCGUCUCGUCUCGUCUUGUCUCGUGCAACAGCACAAUGCAACUCAGGGAUGCAUUGUGGAUCAGUCUCACUAGACACCCCAGUGAUACCGACGACGUCGACGCCAUCGUCGCUGUCGUCGACGAGUUCUACCGAUGCGCGACUAUUUAGUAGGACGCCAUCGCGCAAACUCCCACGCUUCGGAUGCUGAACAAAAUCAUGGUCUAUUUAAAUUAAUUUGUGUAA